GAGGUGACAACUUUUUCUGGAGUCCAGGUGUGAUUUCAUUAAGUGUAAUGGCAAAUUGUGUAAGGUUAUAUUUUGUUUGGUGUUCAGGUGGUGGGUUGGUUUUCCAAAUGAGAAUGGGUUUUGAAGAAUUAGAGCCUUUCCCUGCUUUCUUCUUAUUAUUAGAAUUCCCUCCAAUAACAUAAAGCAAGCUCUCACCCCAUUUUCCAAAUAUAUUUGCCAUUGUUUCUCCAUAUUUAUCUUCUACUACGCCUUGCACCUGCAACACAACUUAAAUUACAAUGCAUUAAGUUACAUAUAAGGAGAAAGUUCAAGAGCCAACAGAAUUUAGUGUUUUUAGUCAAAUUAUCAGUCUAAUUCUUUUAAUUCAGCAAUCUAGACUAACUGCUAAUAAAAAAAUAUUAGACCAAAUUUAAACACCAAAUAAGAAAUACCGUAAAAUUGGCCUAAAAAAAUACCAUAAAAAACUGAUUAAAAUUGGUAAAAACAAAAAUGGUUGACCUUAACUUUUCUGUUUUUUAAUUGGAUACCACCUCUCUCAUUUAGAGUGAAGUGACAUCAAAUUCAAGUAGAAAUGAUCACAGCCAAUGUGAUAAACACCUGAUAAUCAAAAUAGUAAA